GGAUUAGGCAUGCAAGUCGCACGAGAAAGGCUUCUUCGGAAGCCGAGUAAAGUGGCGAACGGGUGAGUAAUGCAUAGACUACUCGCCCUUGAGAUGGGGACAACGCCUCGAAAGGGGUGCUAAUACCCAAUGCCGCCUUGGGCCUGCGGGUCCAGGGUGAAAGGAGGCCUCUGAUUCAAGCUUCCGCUCAAGGAGAGGUUUAUGUCCUAUUAGCUAGUUGGCGGGGUAACGGCCCACCAAGGCUGCGAUGGGUAGCCGACCUGAGAGGGUGACCGGCCACAUUGGGACUGAGACACUGCCCAGACUCCUACGGGAGGCUGCAGUCGAGAAUCUUCCGCAAUGCGCGCAAGCGUGACGGAGCGACGCCGCGUGGGUGAUGAAGGCCUUCGGGUUGUAAAACCCUGUCAGCUACUACGAAACACGGGCGAUGAACAAUCGUCCCGUCUGACUUAAGUAGCAGAGGAAGCACCGGCUAACUACGUGCCAGCAGCCGCGGUAAUACGUAGGGUGCGAACGUUGUUUGGAAUCACUGGGCAUAAAGGGCGCGUAGGCGGUCUGAUAAGUCAGGUGUGAAAUCCCUCGGCCUAACCGAGGAACUGCAUUUGAUACUGUCGGGCUAGAGUACAGGAGGGGAGAGUGGAAUUCCUGGUGGAGCGGUGAAAUGCGUAGAUAUCAGGAGGAACGCCGGCGGCGAAAGCGACUCUCUGGCCUGUUACUGACGCUGAGGCGCGAAAGCUAGGGGAGCAAACGGGAUUAGAUACCCCGGUAGUCCUAGCCCUAAACGAUGGGCACUAAGUAGAGGGGUUUU
rnacentral:rRNA from 1 species